rnacentral:rRNA from 1 species
UACGUAGGGUGCGAGCGUUGUCCGGAAUUAUUGGGCGUAAAGAGCUCGUAGGCGGUGUGUCACGUCGGCCGUGAAAACCUGCAGCUUAACUGUGGGCGUGCGGUCGAUACGGGCAUCACUGGAGUUCGGCAGGGGAGACUGGAAUUCCUGGUGUAGCGGUGAAAUGCGCAGAUAUCAGGCAGGAACACCGAUGGCGAAGGCAGCCCCCUGG